GUUAAGUUGGUGGCAGCGGCAGCGGUAAUCCGAAGGGGGGAGGGGUUGGUGGGAAUUAAUGGGCGGAAGGCGCGAGUAGGCGGGUCAGUAAGUCGAUUGUGAAAUCCCUGGGCUUAACCUAGGAACUGAAGUUGAAACUACUGAUCUUGAGUGCCUGAGAGGAUGGCGGAAUAACCGGUGUAGUAGUGAAAUACGUAGAUAUCGGUUAGAACACCUGAGGCGAAGGCGGCUAUCUGGCGGUGCACUGACGCUGAUGCGCGAAAGCGUGGGGAGCAAACAGGAUUAGAUACCCUGGUAGUC
rnacentral:rRNA from 1 species